UCCGGUAUCCAUGAAUAAACAUGAAGCAAAGAAAAUAAAAGAGACAAUAAGAUGCGUCGAGGUUAGAAUAACGGUGUCACCUUGCGGUCAGUGCUGCCAUCUUUUUGGGGCAAAUUAGUGAUAUACCUAAAUAGGUCUCAACUGUCAUCCAAAACCACCGGUUAAAGGUUAUGUAUCAUUGAUCAAUAUUAUUGAUCAAAUAAAAUGCAAUUCUGUUGUUAAAACACAAGUGUUCCCAAGAGCAAGAAGUCCUGCCCGUAUCACUCCAAACAUCUUUGCCCAAUCCCUGUGAGUGGGCUCAUAUUUUGAGCAGCUUCUCGUGUUCGGUUAAUUAACUGCUGCUCAAUUUGAACCGGUGUUCGAAAGUUCAAAGAUUUAAUGUGUUCUAGUGUCCUGUGCAUGUUACAUACAUGGUAGGAAUGUAGGCCCUUCCUCGAUGGAGUUAUUGGGACGAUUAAGUAUCCGGUGUUUGGGAAAGUGCAUUUGUUGUGCAAUGCAUCAAGUACUCUUGGAAGACUCAGGAGCAAUAAUCUCCAAUACCUGUUCCUAUAGGUCUGGAAACCGAGCACCUUUAGAUUGUCCACUAUCUGCGUCCAUUUCGGGACACUCGUCUAAUGUGUAGCUCUUUGCUAGUCUGUUCCGAGCCGGUUCGUUUAAAAGUUUGCGAUGUUUUGCGAUCGCAGGACAUUCAUCAUUGGACUGACAAAGGAGGACGCUAAUCGCGCCCCCCUUCUGCUUCAUCCCUCCGACAGAUUUGACUCCUCCGGCCUUUGUCUCUACCAGCAAUUUUAAGCGAUUAUUACCAUGAAAGAGCCACAAAUCAGGAUAAAACUUCCCGGAAAUGGGGGAGUGAAUCUACAAAUAUCAACGUGCAUUAUUUCGGUAUUUUGACUUAGAAUUUUCUGAUGUUCUUCCUUAGUAAGUUAUGUAAAACUUUUUCAAAUGUGCACUUGUCUUGAUUGAAACAAUAAGAAAAUAAAUGAAAACAGAAAUUUUGCGUCCCCUCAAAACCUACGGAAACGUAGGAAGAUAAAGCGAUCACCUCUACCAGGAAAAUGGAUCUGAAACUAAAAAACAAACACGAAACAGAAGAUUAAUGCUGAGCUGUCUCCCGACUUUCUUCGGGGUAUUUUUCACGUAACCAUCGCCGCACACACACACACUUCGUAGUUACACCUAUAAUUUUCCUCUAAUCCAAAUAAAUUUCAUCGAUUUUUGACGAA